rnacentral:lncRNA from 1 species
CUGAAGUUUCACUUGGAGGCGCUCUUGGCUUUCCAUCCUCCCGUGCAAGGAAUUCUCAAACCCUAUGGUGAUCUGGGUAACUCUCUUACGCCCUGGAAUCCGCCCCCCUCCUGGAUCUUUGUGGGAAUGCGAGGUGGCUGGAUGCCCCGAACGAUUGCGAACUGUCCCGAAAGCAACAACUAAAGGCGCCAAAGGCGAGGACGGCACAGAGCUAACACCUGGGUUCAUCUUGGUUUCCUUUUAUUUUCCUUCUGGGCAGUUGCAGAGUUUUCAAGGACGUGCUGCAACACCAGAGAAACACACACGCACACACACACACACGCACGCACACACACACACUUCUGCUCAGACUGAGGGACCAACAGAGGUGCAAUGGCUCCACCUGCUGUCUAAUGUUCAAAUCUCACCAGUACCUGUAACUCCAAUGAGAGCAAGGACCACGGUGGAAAACCUGUAUUGUCAUGUAGGAUGGGGAGAAGAUUCCAUCUAAGGAACAGCUUUAUUCGGCAACAUCCUGACUGGACUCCUGCCGUACAUCCGUAGAGUUAUGUCAGCUGUUCUGUUCUGAACCCCUGGUGCCAUGGCUUGGCAAUGCAGAUGGUGGACUGAGUAGCUAGCAAUGCAUCAGGUAUCUGUGUUUAAGACAGGGUGAAACUGACCAGAGGCUGGUAGGUAGGAUCUCAAUUGACUAUUUUCUUCUUUAAUUUUAUCCACAUCUUUAUUUGAAUUAGUGUGUCCCUUUUCAGCGUAGGUGAGUGCCAAUCCGAAAGGACAUUUCAUGGGGCGUGGGGGCAAAAUAUUCUGCACUUAAUGAAUUCAGCACUGGUGGGAGAAAUACAUUCUGUCAGCUGGCUGGCAGUGAGAGCUGGCUGCUUCUUGCCUCUGGUAAACGGCCAUGGUGCCCCACUGACCCCUGAGGCACAGCCAGAAGCUGCAGUGUUGCCAGCUCUUCUGGUUUUAUCACAAGGCUCACAACAUCUGGUUAGUUUCUUAAAGCUCCAGCUUCUGGAAUCAAGAGACUGCAGGAAAAUCUCAGAUUUCAUGCCUAAAAAGGGAAGUGUCUAGCUCUGCUGAUUUCAGAGAAAAUCCUGAAAAUUAGGGCUGUCAAGUGAUUAAAAAAAUUAAUCGCAAUUAACUGCACAAUUAAUCGUGCUGUUUACAAUAAGAGAAUACCAUUUAUUUAAAUAUUUUGGAUGUUUUCUAUAUUUUCAAAUAUAUUGAUUUUAGUUACAACACAGAAUAGAAAGUGUACAGCGCUCACUUUGUAUUUAUUUUGGAUUGCUAAUAUUUGCACUAUAAAAAACAAAAGAAAUAGUAUUUUUCAAUUCAUCUAAUACAAGUACUGUAGUGCAAUCUCUUUAUUAUGAAAGUUGAACUUACAAAUAUAGAAUUCUGUACAAAAAACCUGCAUUCAAAAAUAAAACAAUGUAAAACGUCA